AGUUCCAGAACCUCUGUGCUUAUACAGGUUUGAUUUCCUUGGAAGGAGGUCAGCUGUCUCACAAAAGGAACUUUCUAGAGCUUGCAGAGCUCAAAGUUCAGCUAUCUGCUUCUUAGAGCUUUUCUGCAUGGAGUAUUUAUUGUGUGCUAAUGAUUCCUCACUCACAGUUGUUUACAGGCUCUUUAGACAGUGUGAUCCUUCAGUUUCACUUGUGAUUUUUCAGACAAGUUUUACAGGGUGGGGUUAAGAAUGGGAUAUUAUGUUAGAAUGCAGAAAUAGGGCUGUUUCUUCUUGUAUAUUUGAACUACAGGUAGUCCCUGGGUUACAGAUGAGUUCCGUUCCUGGGACCUUCCUUAAGUUAAAUUUGUAUAUACCAUCAAGUCCAAGAUGUCAUAAAGCAAACCCACAAUGAUAGUCAUAGAAAAUGUAAAACAACAGGGUACAUGUAAUGUUACUGUCCUUCUGCCAUGCUUUUCUAUUACUGAAAAAUGAGUGUAGUGGCCAAAAGUGACACAGAUGGAGAAAAUAUGCCCCAUCAAUGUGUCUAGUGAUUUUCUCUUGUUGUUUUUAUAGGUCUUUCAAUAUUUAAGUGUGCAAUGACAAAUGAGUAGUGGACAAAGUUCCAGUGUUUGGCACCGAGUUGAUGUCCUCAUUCUGUAACCUAAAAUUACAUCAAAUUAUCUGCUGGAAGUACGAAAAAAAAUUACUCAUCUUAACCUGAGCAAUCAGAAAGAUGGAAUUCAGGUUCUUUCUCACUCCAGCUUCUUUGGAAUCCCGGAAGAACACAUUUACUUAUGUUCUUGUAUAGUCAUGAUUCUAUAAUUGAGAAGUAGCAGGCAGCACAAUCUUACAGUCACUAGACAGCAUUCAAGUGGCCAUGGGAUUAUUCAUGUACCAGCUUCGAUCUUGGAAACUGGUUAGAGCUAGUAUUCCAUGAAUACAGAGGCCUCCCUUUGCUUGCAGACUCCGUGGAAGAACCAUGCCGGUUCCUUUUCUGAAGCUGCAAAUGUGAGGGUGGAAGGGAAGGAUACUGGUGUAGCCAUGGUAAUUCCUUCCCUUCUACUCCAAGGCAUGGCACUUAGACAUGUCUGAAAUGUGCCAUCUAGAGUGUUUUGCAGUGUGGGAGAAAUAUGCGUAUAACCUGCUCCGGCUGCUCUGCAUGGGAUGCCUAUAAUCUUCUGAGUUCAGAAGGUUACAGGUAACUGCAUUUGAUUGCAUCCUGAAUAAGGAUUAACCCCAUUUUGGCUUCUCUGUGGAACUAUUUGCAUUUUUCUUCUUGUUUGUAUAUUUAUUUGGCUGUGAUUGAAAUAUAGCAUCAUCAUCAUUUUCCCUAUGGUUUGCUUAGCCCUAAUUGUAAUACAUAUUAACUUAGUGCUGUUUCCUUGCUGUCUUAAUUGUAGCUUUACCAUAAAGCUACUUUCCUUAAUAAAUAUGUAAAAAAAUACUGGGGUCAUAGUAAGUGUCCUGUUAUUUAAGCCUAUAUUCAAUGUAAAUUUUGAUUUCUGUCCUGUAUUCUUAGCAACAGGGUAAUAUGGAUAUAUUAGAUUUCAAAAUUUAAUCUUGUUUAUUAGUAGCAAUAUUUAUAUACUGGUACUUAUAAAUAGGUAUUAAAUAAGAAAUAUUUAUAUCUUAUUUUGCUUGAUUAGACAUGGGUUGGUUGUUUGCAUAAGGCUAUGAUAGAAAGUGUUCCUUUAUGUGUACAUUUGUGUAUAUAUAGUUCUUGUUCCUUUCGUAGUUUGUUGUAUAAAAAGCUGUUUGUGAAGAUUCUUGUUUUGGAAGUAUCUUGGCUGGCAGUGUGGCUUCUGAAAAGAAGACUCAGAAGCCUUACUGUAGGCAGCAGCCUCCAAUUUAGUGAAAACAUGCUGCCAGUGGCAUGUGAAUGCUGCUUUAUUUUUCUGAAUCAGGGCUUAUUGAUCUUGUUGCGUUACUAUGUCCGAAUCUUUGCAACUGCAGCUCCUCCAUUUCAGCAGGAUAUGCUCUUAGGUACACCUGCAGUUCUAUGCACACCACAGUAGCUAUUCCUAGGGUUUCACUGCCCAUAUGCAUCAAGGUUAUUUAAUGCAUUAGUAUAGUAUUUUGGAAAAUUGAAUGCAAAUAAUUCUGAUUUUAACCCUUCCAGUACAUCUUCAGGAAUAUUAACUUAGUUGUGUAACAUUCCCUUUAUCUUGGAAGUAUGAUCCUGAUAACAGGAACAGUUUAAAUGAAAACAUUAUUGAUAAGAGUAAGGGCUAAGUGCUUUUUCUGACAUGUAAAGAGGGUUUCACUGUUACAUAUGUCUGAAGUGUAGCACAUAGUUCACUGUUCGGUAUUCCUCCUCUGCUCUUAAAACAUAUUUGUUUUACCUAAAGGUUUGAUUUUUAUAGAUGAACAUACUUAAGAAAUAAAAAUACACACUGAAAUCA